rnacentral:rRNA from 1 species
CACGUAGGAGGCAAACGUUAUCCGGAUUUACUGGGCGUAAAGCGCGUGUAGGUGGUUCUGUAAGUAGGGCGUGAAAGCUCCCGGCUCAACUGGGAGAGGCCGUUCUAAACUGCAGAGCUAGAGGAUGGUAGAGGGAGGUGGAAUUCCAGGUGUAGCGGUGGAAUGCGCAGAUAUCUGGAGGAACACCAGUGGCGAAGGCGGCCUCCUGGACCAUUCCUGACACUCAGACGCGAAAGCUAGGGUAGCAAACGGGAUUAGAUACCCCGGUAGUCCCUGA